GGGGAUGUAGCUCAGUGGUAGAGCGCUCGCUUUGCAUGCGAGAGGUCCUGGGUUCGAUCCCCAGCUUCUCCA
rfam:Rhizophagus irregularis DAOM 181602 strain DAOM 197198 GLOINscaffold_20056_Cont19980, whole genome shotgun sequence.